rnacentral:rRNA from 1 species
AGGCUUAACACAUGCAAGUCGAGCGCCCAGCAAUGGGAGCGGCGGACGGGUGAAUAACGCGUGGGAAUAUGCCCUUUGGUACGGAACAACUCAGGGAAACUUGAGCUAAUACCGUAUGAGCCGGUAACGGGAAAGAUUUAUCGCCAAAGGAUUAGCCCGCGUCCGAUUAGCUAGUUGGUGAGGUAAUGGCUCACCAAGGCACCGAUCGGUAGCUGGUCUGAGAGGACGACCAGCCACACUGGGACUGAGACACGGCCCAG